UACAGAGGUCUCAAGCGUUGUUCGGAAUCACUGGGCGUAAAGGGUGUGUAGGCGGCGUGACAAGUCAGAUGUGAAAUCUGGGGGCUCAACCUUCAAAUAGCAUCCGAUACUGUCAUGCUGGAGGUCUGUAGAGGAGUCUGGAAUUCUCGGUGUAGCAGUGAAAUGCGUAGAUAUCGAGAGGAACACUUGUUGCGAAAGCGAGACUCUGGGCAGAAACUGACGCUGAAACACGAAGGCCAGGGUAGCGAACGGG
rnacentral:rRNA from 1 species